CACGUAGGGUCCGAGCGUUGUCCGGAAUUACUGGGCGUAAAGAGCUCGUAGGUGGUUUGUCACGUUGUUCGUGAAAACCCACAGCUCAACUGUGGGCGUGCGAGCGAUACGGGCAGACUAGAGUACUGCAGGGGAGACUGGAAUUCCUGGUGUAGCGGUGGAAUGCGCAGAUAUCAGGAGGAACACCGGUGGCGAAGGCGGGUCUCUGGGCCGAUACUGACGCUGAGGAGCGAAAGCGUGGGGAGCGAACAGG
rnacentral:rRNA from 1 species